UCACCAAGCGCUGCACCAACUUCAGAGGGACCUACACCAUCAGAGGGGUCUACGCCAUCGUCCCAACAAAUUGUCAUUCGCUUGACGGCGAGGAUUUCCUCUGUGGCGGCUCUGACUGAGGAAGACAUCAGGAGUACGGUCGUACAGCAGCUUAAAAACGAACUGGUGAAACUCGGAUUGACACCCAGCACAAAUCUGACGUUACUGGGGAAGGUGUAACUGGAAAUUACAGCCAAU